UACGAAGGGGGGCUAGCGUUGUUCGGAAUUACUGGGCGUAAAGCGCACGUAGGCGGAUAUUUAAGUCAGGGGUGAAAUCCCGGGGGCUCAACCCCCGGAACUGCCUUUGAUACUGGGUAUCUCGAGUCCGAGAGAGGUGAGUGGAAUUCCGAGUGUAGAGGUGAAAUUCGUAGAUAUUCGGAGGAACACCAGUGGCGAAGGCGACUCUUUGGCCUGUAACUGACACUGAGGCGCGAAAAGCGUGGGGGAGCAAACAGG
rnacentral:rRNA from 1 species